AAGAGUUCUAAUCAUUUUUAAUUAUAUUUCCUCCAUUACCAAGUUUUUAAGCUUCAGAAUUUGUCUUGUAAACAACAAGCUUCUUUCAACAUCCACUUGAAACUAACAACGUAUAUUACCCCAUUGACGUAAGCUGUCUCAAUAUGGCCAAUUGUGGUUGGUUGUGGAGCAUCAUCUGGUUCAUUCUUCUUAUAGUAUUUGGAUGGCCAAUAGGAUUCAUUUGUGCUGUAUUCUACAUUAUCUUCAGUCCAUGUGCAGCUUGUUGCUCGGGUUGUAAUGAACUUAUCAACCUUCUGGAAAGAGGCGUGAAAUUGCCUCUCACUUGUUCUCAAAAUAUGGUGUCGGGGAAAUCCAUGUGUUAAGAGCAGCUUUUUACUUGGAGGCUUUUUUUUUUAAUGGCCUUGAAAAGGAUGCGAUGAAGGUGGUUCUAUUUUUAUUCCAUUUAUUAGAAGCCUUAUUUAAACAUGUUCACUUCAGGUCUGAUUUGUAUUUACAUUGAGAUGGACAAAAUAUUAGCCUAAUUAAUGCUUUAAUCAUUUUUUUUAUUACCUUCCCAAAUAAUUUUACAUUAACUAUAUAUUUAUAUACUCUACAUAAGUGUAUUUACUGUUUGUUAUGCUAACAUUAAAUAUUUAAACUUUUUCUAGUCCAUGUUAAUGAAAUCACUUGUGAAAUUCCCCUUGUUAUACAAUUGAUAUUCCUUUAACAUUACAGCAGCAAAAGAUCUGCCUAAAACUUUUUUCUUUUUUUUUUAAUUUUCCUUGAUUACAUUUUUUUUUAUCAGUUAAAGGAUGAUAUUUAAAAAAAAAAAUAAUCAGGCUAGAAAAGGGUCAAAUAUAUAUAUAUAUAUAUAUUUUUGCUUUUUUUUUUUUUUUUUUUUUAAAGUACCGGUACCGUAGUGAGUAGUUAGAUUUAUAUACAGGUAGAAAAGAAAGAGUUAAAUAGUAGUUGUAGACAUUCACUAGUCCAUAGAGACAAUGGAAUCAUUCCAUCUACAAAAAAGUUUACUGUAUAAAGACUAUGCUUAGUUCUUUUUUUUUUCCUGACAAUGUAAGAUUUGAAGAUCAUUUCAUUCAUUAUAAAAUAAUGCUGUCCAUUAAGAUUGUAGAUCUGAAAACUCAGACCUAUAUAUUUCUUUUUUUUUACCCACACAAUUAAAUGAAUUUGUAAAAACUAUUGUUCUAAUAAUAAUCAACAUUCUACAUCUUUAUUUCUGUUUUAAUGCUUUGUAAUAUCUUCAGCCUUAGCUCACAUCUCUCAUUCAAAGAACAGGUCCAUACAUCACAUUUCUGACCAGUUUUCAUGUCUCUCUAAAGUUAGUCCUGGUUUAAAUUACUAUUCACUAUAGCGUUUACUAUUGACUAUAAGGCUAGUCUUUGAGUCCGAAGAUUAGUGAGGAAUGUAGUAUUUCCUGUGGCUGCGCAGUCCCAGCUGUGACCUACCUAUUUUGCCACUACUAGGGCAUGCAAAACCAUUGUCUGCAGGUGGUCGAUUUAGAUUUUCUUUUCGCCGUCUGCGUUUGUCCUUGGCAAAUUUUCUUUUGGUCUCAAAUGUGUAUCCUGUGGCCUCCAGCUGUCUCGUUCUGAGGCUGCAUGCAACCAGGUGCUCUCUUCUAUGUCAGCCAAGGAAAGUUGACGCCUAAGCUGGUCUUUGAAGGGUUUCUAACCUGUUUUCAAAGCUAGUCCCUCUAUAAAUUACUAUUCACUUUGGAUAUAAAUAGUUUUGGAUUUUUUAAAUUUACAAAUUAAUUUUACUUUUUGUCAAUUAUUUUCAAAGUAAAAAUUUAGCUUCUUUUGUAAUUUUAAUUUCUAACAAAUAACACAUAUUAUUUUUGACCACAUGGGGAGUUUAGGCUCAAAAAUGUCUAAACAUCUUGAUCACUCUAUAUUUAGUUGAAGGUGGUGUAAAAGCUCAAGAUAUUGUAUUUGAUAUUUUAAGUUUGUAAAAAUGUUCAUUUUGGUUAAUAUCAAAAACAUUAGCUGUAAACCAGUUUUUUAAAUUUUGAUAUUCUUACAUUGCUUGUAAUUUUAUGUUUUGAACUUUUUCCCUGCUGAGGCUGUACUUUAGUGUAAAUGCAUUUUUUUUUAUAUAUAUUUUAUACUAGUCUUUUACAAGAUUACUUUUCAUAUAAAUGUAUAUAUAUUUAUAGAGAUUUUUCUUCCGCUUUGGCCUUAUUCAAUCAUAUUUUUUAAUGUUUAUUUUUUCCUCUAAUGUUUGUUUUUUUAUUUUAAGAAGAUUAAAAACUCACUCACUUUGUUAUAUCAAACUUCACUGGAUUGACACUCAAUUUCAUCAAUAUUUGAUCUUCAAUUAAAAAAAGCACAUUUUGUCAAUGGAUUACAGUGGCUUUUUGCAAGUAGGACUGAAUGAGAACACUGGAAAACAGAAACUGCUACAUCUCCUGGGUUUAAAACAUUCCAAUUUACAUUCUAGAACCAGUAUGUCAAAGUUACAUAUAUAUAAUUUUGUAGCAGGCAUUUAGUAGGUUUGUUCACUUGAAUAUUUCAUUGAUCACAUGGAAUAUCUAGUAUUCAUAGAAAAAAAAAGUGUGUGUGGAUUUAAUUGUGUUUUGCUAAUUUUUUUUUUUUAUUUAAGAAUCAGAGGCAUAUUGUAUAACUUUUGUUUUAAUAAUAAUAAUAAUCUUUAUUGUCCGUAUGGAAAUUUGUCUUACAAUUUGUGCAUUACACCAAACAAAAAACAUUAUAACUAUAAGAAACCAAAGUUUUGAGAAGCAGGCUUCUGGCUUUGUAUUCUCUUUCAGAACAGCAGUUCAUUGCUACGUGUCUUUCUUUCAAAAAUUACUUUAAUCAACUGAUAGGUUCCAUCUUGAACAGAAAGGUCUCUUUCUUUUUUUAUUCCUAAUAAUUCAUCUAAAAUCAGCUCAGCAGGCCUAUUUAAUUAGAAUAACCCAUCCAUUUUUAAUGUAGUCUGUUUUGUUUGGAAUAGUUGAAGCUCCAUCUAUUUUUUUUUUAUUAUUAUAUGUCUAUUCAGUUUGAAAUUACAUGUCUAUUGUUAACAACAAGGGAUGUAAUAUUUUAUUGAUUUAUGAUUCAAAAAAAAAAAAGGAGGAAAUGUGUUCACAACUGUGUUCCUAGUUAUCAUCUCAAUCUAUUUGUUUUUCUUUUCAAAUAGCCAGACUUCUGGAUAUUUUUUUUUACAAUACAUUGCUGUUCUUUUUUUUUUUUUUUUUUUUGCCAGUUUCAUGAACCUCACAUUGCUUUAAAUAGACAGCAUUAAUUCAUAUUUUUAAUCGUGUACGCCUGCACAAUACCAGCCUAAUUGUAUUGAUCAUGAGAAUGUUGAUUGCUUUACAACAGGCUAAGAUUAUGGCCUGAAUAGAACCCAUUACAUUAUUUCAUUUCAAUCCACAAGUAUAUAUAUAUAUUCCAUAAGUGAGGCCAAGCUAGCAAUAUUUAUACAUUUUCGUUCCAUAUUUUUGUUUAUUUUUACUUAACAAUUGAAUAUUCAGAGCUUGAUAAGUUCAAUUAGAACAUUGUGUUUGUUGAGAUUUUAGGAUUAGACCAGUUAAUCACGUCAGUUUUUUUUUUUUUUUUUUUGGCAGAUUCUUUAUUUCAUGACCAUUUACGCCUCACGGGUACAACUUGGUAACGUUAGAGGUGAUGUUUAGUAAUAGAAAGUGGCUUAGGUUUACUUUUUUUUGACAUUUGGAUUAUUUGUUGCAGUUUUUUUUUUUUUUUUUUGCUUGUUCACCUUAAAUAAAUAACUUUUUACUUUUUUUUAUGUGUAGUACUAUUACCACUCAUUGAAAAAUGAUUUUUGUUCCAAUGUACAAAUAUUUUUUUUACUACAUCAUAGAUUUCUAAUUGGCUUUUAACCAUUUUAUAAUCGCCAUAAUAAUUUUAAGAUGGGGUUUUUCGUUUUUAUAUUGUAUAUGUAUAAUAAUUUGGUAUUUCAUGUGCUAGUACUUGUUUAUAAUAUAGUAUAAAUAUAUUUCUUUAGUUGUAAAUUAGGUACAAUAAUUAAAACGACUGUUAAAAAAACAUUUUCAUAACAGAUUUAGUUAGCUCAGAAAAUAAAGCCAACUCAACAUUGUAUUCAAUUUUAAUCACCACAAACAAGAUUGUGUUUUCAUAUUGAUUCUUGACAUGUGUCAAUGGUAGAUAUCUAUUUUUAGAAUUAUGUCAACAUAUACCACUUUUCAUUAGAGAACAAACCUUGUCAUGUUUUGACAUACAUUAUAUUUCUCAAUAAGCUGUAAUAUUUUCAAUACCUUCAGCUUUAUUUGUGAUUUAUAAUGUCUCAAGAAGUAUUUUAUGUAAAUACUUCAUCCAUCAUCUGGAUCUAUAAAAAUAAUCUAGCACAUUUUUAUCUAACUUCUCUGCAUAAUUUUUUUUAAAUUUUCUAAUCAUUUCUUGGAUUGCAGCUUGUUCAUUAUUGGACACUUUUGAAAAGAACUUUGUUGACAGUUAAAUUUGGUAAUUCCUGUAUAGCAUUUUUGUGUGCAUUUUAUAUCUGACUGAUUAUCUUGAGAGUUGAGGUUUUACUGCCUGGUUCUCAGUGCACUCCAGAUCUACAUGUUUGUUUUUUCAUUACAGUGGUAAGAGAAAUUAUUCCACCAUCAAUUAUGUACAUUAUUUCAACAUCUUGAGUAAGUGUUUGUUUUGUUCAGCUAAAAGCUAUUUUAUAUUGAGACGUAAAUUUGUAUAGUAUGUGUUAUGCCCCAUGCCAGUAUAUAAAAUACAUUAACAUUUUAAACCACCAUUUUACAAUAUGUUCAAUGACAGCAAGUCAUAAGAU